GACGAACGCUGGCGGCGUGCCUAAUACAUGCAAGUUGAGCGCUGAAGGUUGGUACUUGUACCAACUGGAUGAGCAGCGAACGGGUGAGUAACGCGUGGGGAAUCUGCCUUUGAGCGGGGGACAACAUUUGGAAACGAAUGCUAAUACCGCAUAAAAACUUUAAACACAAGUUUUAAGUUUGAAAGAUGCAAUUGCAUCACUCAAAGAUGAUCCCGCGUUGUAUUAGCUAGUUGGUGAGGUAAAGGCUCACCAAGGCGAUGAUACAUAGCCGACCUGAGAGGGUGAUCGGCCACAUUGGGACUGAGACACGGCCCAAACUCCUACGGGAGGCGGCAGUAGGGAAUCUUCGGCAAUGGACGAAAGUCUGACCGAGCAACGCCGCGUGAGUGAAGAAGGUUUUCGGAUCGUAAAAACUCUGUUGGUAGAGAAAGAAACGUUGGUGAG
rnacentral:rRNA from 1 species